UGUGGUUUAAAGUAUAUUUAUUUCUUGGUUUUAAUUUAUAUCAAUUUCUGGUACCUUUAUAAUAUACUUUUGAUAUAUCUCCAUUUGUUUUAUUUUAAUGUUUUAUAGAUACAGCUAUUAUUUCAUAUUGGACAAUGUUCAGCGGCAAGUAUUACAUUGUGAUUUGGAUCAGAUCAAAAGAUGUGUACAUUGAAGCAUACAUUCGGAGCCAUAGAAUAAAAAGAAAAAGAAAUUACAGUGAAAAACAGGUAAUUUUGAAAGGUUUUAUGAUAGACUUAUUAAGAUAAUUUCUAUCCGGAAGUUAGUAUACCUCAUUUCAUAUUUAUUGCUACAAAAUUUGCUUUUCAAUCAAAUAAAUUGUAUAAAAUUUCAGAUAAAUAGUGUUUGAAGUAAACAAUACAAAGAAAACUGAAGUUCGGUAAUUGAGUACCAAGAGUCAAUUCAUAUAACAAAAGAGGGAUGUAUAAGUACGCAGCCACACGUUGGGCUGACUGAGCUUUGAUUUUAAUCAAAUUUGGCCAUUUUCUUUCAAAAUAUUUUACAAUAAUAAAAGAGUACUUGUGGCAUGAUUGCCAAUGACAUGAGUGAGAUACAUUUGUACCAGACCAGUGCAUUAGAUGAGUCAUGAAAAGUGUCUCUUGUCCUCUACAUCAGGAAUACUGAUACAAGCAUUUUUUUUAUUGAAAAAAACUUGCUUACAGAAUGUGGUUUAAAGUAUAUUUAUUUCUUGGUUUUAAUUUAUAUCAAUUUCUGGUACCUUUAUAAUAUACUUUUGAUAUAUCUCCAUUUGUUUUAUUUUAAUGUUUUAUAGAUACAGCUAUUAUUUCAUAUUGGACAAUGUUCAGCGGCAAGUAUUACAAAGUGAUUGGAUCAGAUCAAAUCAAAAGAUGUAAAUCUUGAAGCACACAUUCCGACUUGUAGAAUAAACAUGAUAAAGAGAUGAAGGAAAGACAGUGAAAAACAGGAAAUAUUUUAAAGGGUAAACAUGGUACACAUUUCGUUUUUAAAUACAAUGUAUAGUAAUAUACUGACGAUGAAAUAAAUUUAUGAUAGUUUCCAUCAGGAAAUAAGCGUAGCUCAUUUUAUCUUUAUUGUUACAAAAUAUGCUUUACACUCAAAUAAAUUGUAUAAAAUUUCAGAUAAAUAGUGUUUGAAGUAAACAAUACAAAGAAAAAUAAGUUCGGUAAUUGAGAACAAAGAGUCAAUUCAUAUCACAAAAGUUGGAUGUAUAAGUACGCAGCCACACAUUGGGCUGACUGAGCUUUGAUUUUAAUCAAAUUUGGCCACUUUCUUUCAAAUAUUUUACAAUAAUAAAAGAGAACUUGUGGCAUGAUUGCCAAUGACAUGAAUGAGAUAUGUUUGUACCAGAGACCAAAGUGCAUUAGAUGAGUACUGAAAAGUGUCUCUUGUCCUCUACAUCAGGAAUACUGGUACAAGCAUUUUUUAUUGGAAAAAACUUGCUUACAGAUUGUGGUUUAAAGUAUAUUUAUUUCUUAGUUAUAAUGUAUAUCAGUUUCUGGUACCUUUAUAAUAUACUUUUGAUAUGUCUCCAUUUGUUUUAUUUUAAUGUUUUAUAGAAACAGCUUUUAUUUCGUAGUGGACAAUGUUCAGCGGCAAGUAUUACAAUGUGAUUUGGAUCAGAUCAAAAGAUGUUUACAUUGAAGCAUACAUUCCGACCAAUAGAAUAAAGAGAAAAAGAUGAUACAGUGAAAAACAGGAAAUAUUUGAAAGGGUAAACAUUUCUUUUUUAAAUAUGAUAGACUUAUUAUGAUAAUUUCCAUCCGGAAAUUAGUAUACCUCAUUUCAUAUUUAUUGUUACAAAAUUUGCUUUACAAAUAAAUUCUAUAAAAUUUCAGAUAAAUAGUGUUUGAAAUAAACAAUACAAAGAAAAACUAAGUUCGGUAAUUGAGAACAAAGAGUCAAUUCAUAUAACAAAAGAGGGAUGUAUAAGUACGUAGCCACACAUUGGGCUGACUGAGCUUUGAUUUUAAUCAAAUUUGGCAACUUUCUUUCAAAUAUUUUACAAUAAUAAAAGAGAACUUGUGGCAUGAUUGCCAAUGAGAUAACUUUGUACAAGAGAUCAAAGUGCAUUAGAUGAGUUUAAAGUGUCUCUUGUCCUCUACAUCAGGAAUACUGAUACAAGCAUUUUUUAUUAGAAAAACUUACUUACAGAUUGUGGUUUAAAGUAUAUUUAUUUCUUAGUUAUAAUUUAUAUCAAUUUCUGGUACCUUUAUAACAAACUUUUAAUAUGUCUCCAUUUUUUUUAUUUUAAUGUUUUAUAGAUACAGCUAUUAUUUCAUAUUGGACAAUGUUCAGCGGCAAGUAUUACAUUGUGAUUUGGAUCAGAUCAAAAGAUGUGUACAUUAAGAGAUACAUUCGGAGCCAUAGAAUAAAAAGAAAAAGAAAUUACAGUGAAAAACAGGUAACUUUGAAAGGUUAAACAGUUCUGUUUUAAAUAUGAUAGACUUAUUAAGAUAAUUUCUAUCCGGAAAUUAGUAUACCUCAUUUCAUAUUUAUUGCAACAAAAUUUGCUUUACAAUUAAAUUGUAUAAAAUUUCAGAUAAAUUGUGUUAAAAGUAAACAAUACAAAGAAAAAAUAAGUUCGGUAAUUGAAUACAAAGAGUUGAUUUUAUAUAACAAAAGAGGGAUGUAUAAGUACAAAGCCACACAUUGGGCUGACUUAGAUUUGAUUUCAUUCAAAUUUGGCAACUUUCUUUCAAAUAUUUUACAAUAUAAUAAAAGAGAACUUGUGGAAUGAUUGCCAAUAAGAUAACUUUGUACCAGAGACCAAAGUGCAUAAGAUGAGUACUGAAAAGUGUCUUUUGUCUAUUACUGACUGAUACAUGUAUAAGCCUUUUUUUUAUGGAAAAUAUUUACUUUCAGAUUGUGGUUUAAAGUAGCAUACAUUUCUUAGUUAUAGUUUAUAUCAAUUGCUGGUACCUUUAUAACAAACUUUUAAUAUGCCUCCAUUUGUUUUAUUUUGAUGUUUUAUAGAUACAGCUAUUAUUUCAAAAAGGACAGUGUUCAGCAGCAAGUAUUACAAUGUGAUUUGGAUCCAAUCAAAAGCACAAACUGACAAAUGAAAUAUCAAAGAAUUAUCCACAGACAAUUCUAAAAGAUAGUGAGAGACAGGAAAUAUUUGAUAAGGUUAACAUUUUUAAAUAGUAAGCAGAUUGUGGCCUAAUUAUGAUUUAUAAACCUAGAUUAAGAUAUACAAAAUGUAUGAAAAUUUUGCUUGUACUUUUUCAAAUAAUACAAUUUGUUUUCAUAGUAAUUCUCACAUAUUACAAUUGUGAUAAAGGCUUAACAGAUAUUUAUACAUGUUACAAAUAGUAUUAUCAUUGUCAGUAUAAUUGUUUCACAAAUUAGGAUUAUUUAAUCAUCUCUGCUGUAAAAUUAUAAAAAAAAAUUAAGAUAGUCAUUUACUGGUUAGAGUCUUAACAAGUGGUAAUUGUGUACUUUUAUUAUUUACCAAUUUACUCCUAUUAAAGAUGUGUCAUUCUUUGUAAGAGGUAUAUCAGGGCAAUGCAAAGUGAUAAAAUAUGUUAAACUGUAUCCUCUUAAAAAAAUGUCAGAUUUCAGGUAAAGGGGAAAUAACUCUUACAAUAUCAAAACACUGAAAAUAAGAACUUUGAGAAUAUCAUUUUUUUUUUAAACUUGUAUAUCCUGGAUAUUUUAAUCAUUACACUAUGAUAUUUAAACACAUUACCAUAUGAUGUUAAAACACAGUACCAAUGUACAUAAAGAGUGCAUGUCAUAUUUUAAGUCAAGGGGAAAUAACCUUUACAAUAUCAAAAUAUUUAAAUUAGAAAUGUAAGAGUAUUACAUAUAUUAUACUGUUUUCAACUUCAACAAAAUGGUUUUUAAUACUGUUUAAUCAUAUAUUUUUAUAUUCUCAGCUUGAACAGAACAUCUAUCCAGCACUUGAAACUUUUUUUUUCUUCAAAUUAUCAUGAAGUUUUAUAUUUUACAGAAGUAUCAUACAAUAAUGUGCAGUCAAGAACUUGGUGUUAUUCGGGACAUGGAUUAAAUGGAUCAUGAACCAAAUUUCAGAUUGUGAUAAUGGUAAGUAAUUGUAACCAACUAUGUCUUGAAUAUUCACAUACAUAAAAAUGAAUAUAGGUUGAAACUGUCAUCCAGCAGUUAACAAUUUUUAUCAUUCAGAAAGAAAAAUGUGCAAAAAAGUAAUAAAUUUCGGAUUGAAACACAUUAUAAGAAAUUAGCUUAAAUGUCAUGAAAGUUAUUAUAUGUUGAUUCUCAUAUUUUUCUCUGUGAUUUAUAAAUUUAAUUCCUUCUGGCAAGCACUGACUCAGUAUAGGACUUGAGAAAAUUGUCAAGACAAAUCACAAAUGAAGUAUUUGAGAACAUGAAGCACAUUAAAACUAUUUGAGAACACUGUCAAUGUCAAGUACAUAAAUAUAUUUGAGAAAUACAAUUUGAGAAAACUGUCAACAUAAAGUACAUAGAAAUUAUUUUGAGAAAUAUUAUUUGAGAAACACUGUGAACAAGAAGCACAUAAACUAUUUGCGAAAAGACUGUCAAUAUGAAGCACAUAAACUAUUUGAGAAACACCGUCAACAUGAAGCACAUAAACUAUUUGACCAACACCGUCAACAUGAAGCACAUUAAACUGUUUGACCAACACGUCAACAUGAAGCACAUUAAAACUAUUUGACCAACACCGUCAACAUGAAGCACAUAAACUAUUUGACCAACACCGUCAAUAUGAAGCACAUAAAGUAUUUGACCAACACCGUCAACAUGAAGCACAUAAACUAUUUGACCAACACCGUCAACAUGCAUAAACUAUUUCACCAACACCGUCAACGUGAAGCACAUAAACUAUUUGACCAACACCGUCAAUGUGAAGCACAUAAACUAUUUGACCAACACCGUCAAUGUGAAGCACAUAAAUAUAUUUGAUAAAUGCUGUCAACAUGAAGCACAUAAAAAAUAUUUGAGACAAAUGUCAACCUGUAGCACACAAACAAUUUGAAAAGAAAUUGUCAAUCUGAAGCAGCCAAACUGCUUGAAAAAAAACUUAACAUGUAAUAUAAACCCUACUUGAUACAACUUUCAACAUGAAGCCCAAAUGAAAUAUUUACAUAAAAUAUGGCCCUGUCACGUUGGCCACUUUACUGAGUAAAGAGUUUCCAGUUGAUACCGCGUGGAGGUGUGACUUGGACUUGGUCAUAUUAACCCAUUUAUCAACCUUUUUUUUUUUUUUUUUUCUUCAUUAUGUAAGAAGAUUUUUUUUUUUAUUAAAAAAGUGUAAUUUAAUUUUAACAGUAUAAAUUUUAAAUAUGAGCAUACAUAUCAACACAACACAAACUGUAUCUAUAUUUUUUAUUACUGCUAAGUCGGAACUUCUACUGUAUUAUGUAAAAAAAAAAUAAUUCUCACCGAACAUUAUUUUUGAAUAUAUUCUGCUUUCAGAAUGUGAAAACAGAUGAAUUCAAGUGGACAGCUACAACCUUACUGAAAUACAUGUGAUAUGGG
rnacentral:lncRNA from 1 species